GGAAUCUUCCACAAUGGACGAAAGUCUGAUGGAGCAACGCCGCGUGAGUGAUGAAGGUUUUCGGAUCGUAAAACUCUGUUGUAAGGGAAGAACAGGCAUGAGAGGUAAUGCUCAUGCUAUGACGGUACCUUACGAGAAAGCCACGGCUAACUACGUGCCAGCAGCCGCGGUAAUACGUAGGUGGCAAGCGUUGUCCGGAAUUAUUGGGCGUAAAGCGCGCGCAGGCGGCCUUUUAAGUCUGAUGUGAAAGCCCCCGGCUCAACCGGGGAGGGUCAUUGGAAACUGGAAGGCUUGAGUACAGAAGAGAAGAGUGGAAUUCCAUGUGUAGCGGUGAAAUGCGUAGAGAUGUGGAGGAACACCAGUGGCGAAGGCGACUCUUUGGUCUGUAACUGACGCUGAGGCGCGAAAGCGUGGGGAGCAAACAGGAUUAGAUACCCCUG
rnacentral:rRNA from 1 species